GGUUAGGACUGUUGCCCCAUCUUCCCUGUAUGAUCCUCCAACCAGAAGACCAGGUUAGGACCGUUGCCCCAUCUUCCCUGUAUGAUCCUCCAACCAGAAGACCAGGUUAGGACCGUUGCCCCAUCUUCCCUGUAUGAUCCUCCAACCAGAAGAUGUCUUAAGACCAGGUUAGGACGUUGCCCCAUCUUCCCUGUAUGAUCCUCCAACCAGAAGAUGUCUUAAGACCAGGUUAGGAACGUUGCCCCAUCUUCCCUGUAUGAUCCUCCAACCAGAAGACCAGGUUAGGACGUUGCCCCAUCUUCCCUGUAUGAUCCUCCAACCAGAAGACCAGGUUAGGACGUUGCCUCAUCUUCCCUGUAUGAUCCUCCAACCAGAAGACCAGGUUAGGACGUUGCCCCAUCUUCCCUGUAUGAUCCUCCAACCAGAAGAUGUCUUAAGACCAGGUUAGGACCGUUGCCCCAUCUUCCCUGUAUGAUCCUCCAACCAGAAGACCAGGUUAGGACGUUGCCCCAUCUUCCCUGUAUGAUCCUCCAACCAGAAGACCAGGUUAGGACGUUGCCUCAUCUUCCCUGUAUGAUCCUCCAACCAGAAGACCAGGUUAGGACCGUUGCCCCAUCUUCCCUGUAUGAUCCUCCAACCAGAAGACCAGGUUAGGACGUUGCCCCAUCUUCCCUGUAUGAUCCUCCAACCAGAAGAUGUCUUAAGACCAGGUUAGGACGUUGCCCCAUCUUCCCUGUAUGAUCCUCCAACCAGAAGAUGUCUUAAGACCAGGUUAGGACCGUUGCCCCAUCUUCCCUGUAUGAUCCUCCAACCAGAAGAUGUCUUAAGACCAGGUUAGGACCGUUGCCCCAUCUUCCCUGUAUGAUCCUCCAACCAGAAGACCAGGUUAGGACCGUUGCCCCAUCUUCCCUGUAUGAUCCUCCAACCAGAAGACCAGGUUAGGACCGUUGCCCCAUCUUCCCUGUAUGAUCCUCCAACCAGAAGACCAGGUUAGGACCGUUGCCCCAUCUUCCCUGUAUGAUCCUCCAACCAGAAGACCAGGGAAAUGCCAGUGAUCCUACCUCUAGUCAUCCAGUAUGUA